AGUGGGGAAUUUUGCGCAAUGGGCGAAAGCCUGACNCAGCAACGCCGCGUGGUGGAUGAAGGCCUUCGGGUNGUAAACNCCUGUCAGGGGGGACGAAAGCCGCGAGGGCGNCUUGACUGUACCCUUUGAGGAAGCCACGGCUAACUCCGUGCCAGCAGCCGCGGUAAUACGGAGGUGGCAAGCGUUGUUCGGAAUUACUGGGCGUAAAGGGCGCGUAGGCGGCUUGGCAAGUCAGAUGUGAAAGCCCCGGGCUUAACCUGGGAAUUGCAUCUGAAACUGCUUUGCUUGAGUCCUGGAGGGGGUAGUGGAAUUCCCAGUGUAGCGGUGAAAUGCGUAGAUAUUGGGAGGAACACCAGUGGCGAAGGCGGCUNCCUGGACAGUUACUGACGCUGAGGCGCGAAAGCUNGGGGAGCAAACGGGAUUAGAUACCCCGGUAGUCCUNGCCGUAAACGAUGGGCACUUGGUGUUGGGGGUAUUGACUCCCCCGGUGCCGAAGCUAACGCAUUAAGUGCCCCGCCUGGGGAGUACGGCCGCAA
rnacentral:rRNA from 1 species